GACGAACGCUGGCGGCGUGCUUAACACAUGCAAGUCGAACGGAAAGGCCCUGCUUUUGUGGGGUUCUCGAGUGGCGAACGGGUGAGUAACACGUGAGUAACCUGCCCUUGACUUUGGGAUAACUUCUGGAAACUGGGGCUAAUACCGGAUAGGAGCUCCUGCUGCAUGGUGUGGGUUGGAAAGUUUCGGCGGUUGGGGUUGGUCUCGCGGCUUAUCAGCUUGUUGGUGGGGUAGUGGCUUACCAAGGCUUUGACGGGUAGCCGGCAUGAGAGGGUUAACGGCGACAAUGGGACUGAGAUACGGCACAGACUACAACGGGAGGCAGCAGUGGGGAAUAUUGAACAAAGGGCGGAAGCCUGAUGCAGCAACGCCGCGUGCGGGAUGACGGCCUUCGGGUUGUAAACCGCAUUCGCCUGUGACGAAGCGUGAGUGACGGUAAUGGGUAAAGAAGCACCGGCUAACUACGUG
rnacentral:rRNA from 1 species